UCGGGAUGGCAAAUGCUGAGAUAGACCAAAUGUUCCUUAUGCAAAGUCUCUACAUUAAAAGAAAAAUGUUAUGGAACUAAUAUGAUCUUUACAAUACCACCACUUCUCAAUAAUCUCGAAAAUUGAUAUAGUGAUUGUUAUUACUAUAACAUACAAAAAUUAUCCACAACCCAAUCCUUCUGAACCUAAAUAUUACAAACCACAAAUAACACACCAAAUAUGGAAUCAAAUUUUCAUAAAAAGAAACAACAUGAAGACCAUUUGAAGCCCACACAACAUAACAAUGACACAACUCUUUAGAAAAAAAAAAAACUAUUGCAAACAAGCAAAAUAUAUAUUAUCACAUAUAAUCUAUUUUUUUCACGUAAAACUCUAAAAAUCAUUAUCAUAUACAUCUCUUGCAAAUGUAAACCAAAAACAGCCCCAAAAAAUCAUACAAAAAAUAAUAAAUCACAAAUAAAUUAUAUUCCGCCCGUAGGGCGGGCCGACCCUAGUGAAUGAUAUUACUUGAUCCGACCAAGUUGACCGUUUAGACUUUAGGUAUUAAAAUUUCCUUAUAAUGCUUGAGUCCCUGACCAAUGACGAAUAAGAAAAUACUUGUAUAAUUUAAAAAAUUACAUAAAAGUAUUAACAAAGAAAACCCUGGCGAGUUUACAAAAGUAUUGAUCCAAUUUUUUUGAAAACCC
rnacentral:lncRNA from 1 species